rnacentral:piRNA from 2 species
UAGAAUUCUCGCCUGCCACGCGG